CUGUAUUUAAAGGGCCAGAACGUUGAGAACCACUGGCUUAGAUGCUCCUGAUCCCUCCUUCGGUGAUGCUAAGCUGGUCAUCAAACCGUCUAGCGCAGGGCUGUGCACCAGGACCAGGAACGAUGGACUUGUCCCAUAUCUACACUGUCUGCUCUGCCACGUGCGUCAGGCACAUCCAGCUCUUACAAUGAAAGUGAACCAUGAUAAUCCCAUUGCUGGUUUUUCAUGGCCUGGAGACCUUAGGGCUGGCUGGAGAGACACUUCCAUCGAGGAAAACCAAACAUUUUGAAUGAAGUUAUGGAGACGGAAGAGCCGGUCUCCCCCGCCCACCUCCCGCCUGCUGUAUAACACACAGAGCAUCUCGGGAUCCCAUCUGAUCCCUGCGGUGACCUAUGCAGGGUGUAAGCCAGGGGUGGUGCCAUUUUACAAAUGAAGAAACGAGGCCCAGAGGAGGCACAUAGCUCCCCAGACCUGGAACGGAGCAGAGCCUCGAACGCCUCCCCCAGGGCCCUGCCAUGUGCUGGUUUGGGCUCCUUCAUGUUCACCUGCAGGCGCACCUGGUGCAACAAAGGACUCGAGUCCCCAGAUGUCUCCUUUAGAGGUUCCACAUCAAGCCACAUCUUUCUCAUUAGUGCUCUCUGAUUAAAGCUAAUUGUCUUCACCUACCAA